rnacentral:misc_RNA from 1 species
GUGAAUCAUCAAAUCUUUGAACGCAAAUUGCACUCUCUGGUAUUCCUGAGAGUAUGCCUGUUUGAGGGUCAGUUUAAAUAAAAAUCGGUGUGUGCGCUUCCUUUCGUGGUCACGCGCCGGUUGUGGGUCGUCUCGCCUUCGGUUAAGUGACCUAAAAUUUUGCAUGAUUUUUUCGCACGUAUUUUAAUGAUUUUACGUACGUUGGCGAUAUCGGAUCCUA